AUUGAACGCUGGCGGCAUGCCUUACACAUGCAAGUCGAACGGCAGCGCGGACUUCGGUCUGGCGGCGAGUGGCGAACGGGUGAGUAAUACAUCGGAACGUACCCUGUUGUGGGGGAUAACUAGUCGAAAGAUUAGCUAAUACCGCAUACGACCUGAGGGUGAAAGUGGGGGACCGCAAGGCCUCACGCAGCAGGAGCGGCCGAUGUCUGAUUAGCUAGUUGGUGGGGUAAAGGCCCACCAAGGCGACGAUCAGUAGCUGGUCUGAGAGGACGAUCAGCCACACUGGGACUGAGACACGGCCCAGACUCCUACGGGAGGCAGCAGUGGGGAAUUUUGGACAAUGGGGGCAACCCUGAUCCAGCAAUGCCGCGUGUGUGAAGAAGGCCUUCGGGUUGUAAAGCACUUUUGUCCGGAAAGAAAUCGCGCUGGUUAAUACCUGGCGCGGAUGACGGUACCGGAAGAAUAAGCACCGGCUAACUACGUG
rnacentral:rRNA from 1 species